rnacentral:rRNA from 1 species
AGCAGCCGCGGUAAUUCCAGCUCCAAUAGCGUAUAUUAAAGUUGUUGCAGUUAAAAAGCUCGUAGUUGAAUUUCGGGAUCGACGGGUCGGUCGCGCCUCUGGUGUGUACUGGCCCUGUCGGUUUCUCCCUUCUGACGAACUGCGAUGUCAUUAAUUUGGUGUCGUAGGGAAUCAGGACUGUUACUUUGAAAAAAUUAGAGUGUUUAAAGCAGGCAUUCGCUUGAAUACAUUAGCAUGGAAUAAUGAAAUAGGACGUUUGAUCUUAUUUUGUUGGUUUCUAAGAUCGACGUAAUGAUUAAUAGGGAUAGUUGGGGGCAUUAGUAUUCAAUUGUCAGAGGUGAAAUUCUUGGAUUUAUUGAAGACUAACUACUGCGAAAGCAUUUGCCAAGGAUGUUUUCAUUAAUCAAGAACGAAAGUUAGGGGAUCGAAGACGAUCAGAUACCGUCGUAG